AAGUCCCGCAAGGGAUAAGUAGAGUGGCAAACGGGUGAGUAACACGUGGGUGACCUGCCUUCGAGUGGGGGAUAACGUCCCGAAAGGGACGCUAAUACCGCAUAACAUCCUGCCUUUGAAGAGGUGGAGAUCAAAGCUGGGGACCGCAAGGCCUAGCGCUCAAAGAGGGGCCCGCGCCUGAUUAGCUAGUUGGUGAGGUAACGGCCCUCCAAGGCUACGAUCAGUAUCCGGCCUGAGAGGGCGGACGGACACACUGGGACUGAGACACGGCCCAGACUCCUACGGGAGGCAGCAGUGGGGAAUUGUUCGCAAUGGGCGCAAGCCUGACGACGCAACGCCGCGUGGAGGAUGAAGACCUUCGG
rnacentral:rRNA from 1 species